rnacentral:rRNA from 1 species
UGGGGAAUAUUGCACAAUGGGCGCAAGCCUGAUGCAGCCAUGCCGCGUGUGUGAAGAAGGCCUUCGGGUUGUAAAGCACUUUCAGCGGGGAGGAAGGCGAUAAGGUUAAUAACCUUGUCGAUUGACGUUACCCGCAGAAGAAGCACCGGCUAACUCCGUGCCUGCAGCCGCGGUAAUACGGAGGGUGCAAGCGUUAAUCGGAAUUACUGGGCGUAAAGCGCACGCAGGCGGUUUGUUAAGUCAGAUGUGAAAUCCCCGGGCUCAACCUGGGAACUGCAUCUGAUACUGGCAAGCUUGAGUCUCGUAGAGGGGGGUAGAAUUCCAGGUGUAGCGGUGAAAUGCGUAGAGAUCUGGAGGAAUACCGGUGGCGAAGGCGGCCCCCUGGACGAAGACUGACGCUCAGGUGCGAAAGCGUGGGGAGCAAACAGG